AAUGAACGCUGGCGGCCAGGCCUAACACAUGCAAGUCGAACGGGUCCUUCGGGACUAGUGGCGGACGGGUGAGUAACGCGUGGGAACGUGCCCCUUGGUACGGAAUAGCCCCGGGAAACUGGGAGUAAUACCUCAUAGUAUGUGAGAAUCGCAUGGUUUUCACAUUAAAGUUCCAACGGUAAAAGAUGAGCAUGCGUCCCAUUAGCUAGAUGGUAAGGUAACGGCUUACCAUGGCGACGAUGGGUAGGGGUCCUGAGAGGGAGAUCCCCCACACUGGUACUGAGACACGGUCCAGACUCCUACGGGAGGCAGCAGUGGGGAAUUUUGGACAAUGGACGCAAGUCUGAUCUAGCCAUUCCGCGUGCAGGAUGAAGGCCCUCGGGUUGUAAACUGCUUUUGUACGGAACGAAAAGGUCUCUAUUAAUACUAGGGGCUCAUGACGGUACCGUAAGAAUAAGCACCGGCUAACUACGUG
rnacentral:rRNA from 1 species